CUUUCGCAUUAGGGAUGGCAGUGGAGCUCUUUUUUGAGGCAAUUUUUCUUCACCUCAAAAAAAGCGGGAACGUACAGCCCGACCACGC
rnacentral:sRNA from 2 species